rnacentral:rRNA from 1 species
GUGCCAGCCGCCGCGGUAAUACCGGCAGCUCAAGUGAUGGCCACUCUUAUUGGGCCUAAAGCGUCCAUAGCUGGCCGCGCAAGUCCGUCGGGAAAUCCACUCGCCCAACGAGUGGGCGUCCGACGGAAACUGCAUAGCUUGGGACCGGAAGGCUCGAAGGGUACGUGCGGGGUAUGAGUGAAAUCCCAUAAUCCCGCACGGACCACCGAUGGCGAAAGCACUUCGAGAAAACGGAUCCGACAGUGAGGGACGAAAGCCAGGGUCUCCAACCGGAUUAGAAACCCCGGUAGUCC